rnacentral:rRNA from 1 species
CUAACUUUAUGAGGGAGCCGUCGAAGGUGGGACAGAUGAUUGGGGUGAAGUCGUAACAAGGUAGCCGUAUCGGAAGGUGCGGCUGGAUCACCUCCUUUCUAAGGAG